rnacentral:rRNA from 1 species
GCGGAGGAAAAGAAACUAACAAGGAUUCCCCUAGUAGCGGCGAGCGAAGCGGGAUGAGCUCAAAUUUGAAAGCUGGUGUCCUUCGGGCAUCCGCAUUGUAAUCUAUAGAGGCGUUUUCCGUGCCGGACCGUGUCCAAGUCCCUUGGAACAGGGUAUCAAAGAGGGUGACAAUCCCGUACUUGACACGACGACCGGUGCUCUGUGAUACGUCUUCUACGAGUCGAGUUGUUUGGGAAUGCAGCUCAAAAUGGGUGGUAAAUUCCAUCUAAAGCUAAAUAUUGGCGAGAGACCGAUAGCGAACAAGUACCGUGAGGGAAAGAUGAAAAGCACUUUGGAAAGAGAGUUAAACAGUAUGUGAAAUUGUUGAAAGGGAAACGAUUGAGGUCAGUCGUGUCUGUAGGAUUCAGCCGUCUCUGGCGGUGUAUUUCCUGCAGACGGGUCAACAUCAGUUCUGACCGGUGGAUAAUGGCAGGAGGAAUGUGGCACCCUCGGGUGUGUUAUAGCCUCUUGUCGCAUACAUCGGUUGGGACUGAGGACUGCAGCUCGCCUUUAUGGCCGGGGUUCGCCCACGUUCGAGCUUAGGAUGUUGACAAAAUGGCCUUAAACGACCCGUCUUGA